AUCCCUAUUGUUUUUGUAAGGAUUUUUUAGGGGUCCAAGCCAACAGGUUGGAUCCCUAUUGUUUUUGUAAGGAUUUUUCCUAUUAUUAUUAUUAUUAGGGGUCCAAGCCAACAGGUUGGAUCCCUAUUGUUUUUGUAGUGUUUAUUAGGGGUCCAAGCCAACAGGUUGGAUCCCUAUUGUUUUUGUAAGGAUUUUUAUUAUACUUCCCAUCUAGAAGUGGUACCACAGCCCAAACCGUAAAUGGUGCACACGCGCCAAUUGCAUCACUAGAUCCAGGUCCGUGAACACUACGCAGACGACAAAAUCCAGACAUGCCGGCCACUAGGUGGCGCUAUACCAAGGAAUACGCGUUUUGGGCUAUAACUCCCACACCGAACCUCCAAGAGUCCAAAAACUUGUACACACAGAUGCACUGGAGUCUGCUGCAUCUUUUGGCCUAGGCCACGCC
ensembl:lncRNA